rnacentral:lncRNA from 10 species
CUUAUAAACAAUAAAAGCUUCUUUGAAAUCCUCUUCCAACCAAAUUACCAUCUCUUGUAUGAAAAUUCCAGAGCCAUCAAUAGAGGAUCAAAACUUUUUAUCAAAAGAAAUCAACAGUAUUUGGUUUAUUCUUUUUUCUCCUAAGUAGGGCAGUGCCAGGAUGGGAGUGAAUCUCUGGGCCAAUCUGUGACCACAGAGGCAGGUCUGGGGUACCUUGGAGGAGGCUGUCCCUCGCCCAAGCAUCUCUGCUACCAUCUGGAGUGAGACCAAAGCCACUGAACCAGCUGACCUGGGAAUCUCGGUCCUAACUCUUCCAGCCAAAUGACUUGAGCAACCGCACCUUUCAUUCACACAGAUUAUCUGUCUCCCCUAUUAGUGUAACCACUUGACCAAGGCAGGCCUUCUCUUCACCUGCUCUGUUCUCUGCUGUAUCCCUGGAGCCAAGAACAUGCCCAAAGUAGGGGCUCAAUAAAUGUCUGCUAAAUAAACGAACUCCCUGAGCCCCAGUUUCCUCAUCUGUCCCAGGUAGAUGCUGUUAAUAAGAGUUGUCUUGAGAAGUACAUUUUAAAAAUAUCUUUAAAUGCUUUGCAAAAUGUAAAGUCCUAUGCACGGGGUGAGUUGGUGUUCCUCUCAUUCCAUACCGAGGGGUUGUGCAGACAGAAUGACUGUGGCCAGAAAGCCAGCCUGCGUUUUCCCCGCUGGUUUCCUCCUGUGUUUUCCCGGCUGGUAUGCUGAUGGUCCAGAAUCUUGCUUGGGAAACACAGGGUUUCCAAAGUCUUCAGCUUUCAGAGUCAAUCUUUCAUUUACGCUAAACCCAGCUCUUCCUCCUUGCUACUCGAUCAGCAGACAGUUCGAUAUUUUCCUGGGUUUCAAAUCCUGGGCAUUUUCAGCCCUUUUUUCUCUCUGCUCUGCCAAACAAGUCACUCACCCCCACUAUUCAUGCUUCUCUCCCUGCUGGUCCCCAUCAGGGUGGCACCAGUGACUGCCACUGUCCCAGUCCUCAGAGCCACCAGGCACCCCAUCCACAGGGAGAGCUCCUUUGCCCUAACUUUUCCAGCAAUAAUCCCCAAAUAUCCUCUUAAACAGGGAGGAAUAGAUCACACGCACCCUCCAAACCAAACAAGAUGGCCCGGGGAUGAAAUGCAUAGACUGACCUAGACUUCAUCUAUGCACUAUUUGAACAAAUGUGUACCCAGCAGGUACCAAGCUGCAGGCAGUGUUUGUUCUAGGCGACGGCAAAUCAGUGGCGGAAAAGACAGAAAUCCCUGUGGGUCGUGAAGUGGAUGCAAUGGUUGGUUGUACAUUUCCUAUUGCCCCUGUAACAAAUUACUCAAAGAGCAGCUAGAGUAACUUUCAUUUGUCUCUUGCAGUUCUGCAGGUCAGAAGCUCAAAAGGGCUAAAAUCAAGAUGUUUCCAGGACUGUCCUCCUCUGCAGAGGCUGCAGGGGAGAAUUCGUUUCUUUGCCUCUUCUGGCUUCUAGAGGAUGCCAACAUUUCCCGACUCCCGGCCCCUCCUCUGUCUUCAAGGACAGCAGUGGAAGGUUGAGCUCCGCCGUUGUGACAUUGUCACCUUGCUUCCAUCUUUACAUCUCUGACUCAGAGUCCCCUGCCUCCCUCAUUCACCUUUAAGGACCCCAUGAUGACAUUGGACCCACCCGGAUAAUCCAGGGACAUCUCCCCAUUCCCAAGGGAUCCACCAUGAGGAGUGUGUCCAGAGAGGAGCUGCUCUCCCUUUAGACUAUGCCCAAGAUAAACACAUAUGGAGCAGACCUGAUCCCAACCCACAGCCUGCAGCCAUGCCCAGCAGAGCCCAGCCUGGAUCCGCCAAGUCGUGCUUGACCUAUGGACCUGAAUGUAGGAAUAAGUACUUAUUGUUAAUAUACAUGAAUGUAAGAAUUACUACCACUGAGUUGGGUUUGUGACAACUGACAAAUUACUGAGCUUUCAAAUUGUGCUUCACAGAUACCAAGGGCAGUAGUUAAAAAAAAAAAUCCUCUUCUCAAACCCAGAGUGCAUUCAUUCAUUUAUUAAUUAAUUAAUUCUCUUAGUUAUUCAACACAGUUUUUGAGCCCUCAGAUGUUAGGCAUUGUUGUAGGUGCUGGGGAUAUGGAAUUUAAUGAGGCAGCCAUUCAUGGUUCCUGCCUUCAUGGUAUGACCAUUUUGGUAGAGGAGACCAUAAACAGACCAGUAAAUAGAUAAAUAAACAAACAAAUGCAUAGGUUCAACAUAUGCUGUUAUUGAAAUGAGACAAAAGGUGAGCUGAAGUGGGAAUAGGAGUGGCCACUUCAAACUGGGGGUCAAGGAAGGCUUCUCUGAGGAGGGGACAUUUAAGCUGACACUGUAGAAAGAGACAGCCAAAGAAUUUGCUCCAAGAGAGCGUUUCAGGAAGUGGGUAUAAUCAGGGAAAAGACCUUGAAGCAGGGAAGUAUCUGGUUCAGUCAAGGAAGAGAAAGGAGGCAACCAGGCUAGGACACAGAAGAGGAGGAGAGGGGUCUUCUGGUGUGCCUGAGUGCUCCUAUAGAGGUACAGGGCCUCAUGGGAGGAAGGGUCUGAAGUUAACAAAAUAAGCAAAGGAACAUAGGUGAAAGGUUUAAGCCAGGGAGUGAUUACCCUUCAGAUCACUCAGCUGUGAUCUGAUCUUUAAAAAUAUACACUCAGAAAUAGUGACCCAAUAUGACUGUGAUUCUGAACUGCAAAGCAAGGAGACACACCCUCUUGAGGGUGGUUUUCUGUUAUAAAUCUCUGUCUCAGGGGUCCUAAGCAGUGUCCAGCAACGGGGACAGAAGAAUGAGGGCCCACUCAGAGAGGUUCUGCUUCAGUUGCUUUAUACCUGGGCCCUUGCUAAAGUUUUAUUUGAAGAGAGAGUGCUGUGUUAAAUAAAUGAAUAUGAUAAAAUAAAGGAAAAUAGAAAUAACAACAACAACAUGUGAAUUUGUAUCUAGACCAAGCCAAGCCAAGACUCAGAUCUGGGAAACAGGUUCAGAAAGGUGGGGGCCUGGUUCAGAGUCACCCAGCACAUUAAUGCCCAGCUUCUUCUCACAUUUACACAACAGUAACCAUUUACAGUGACUUCACAGUCAGUGUCCUGGUAGGGUAGUUAAUACACUGUCCCUGAAUGAACAGUAUCUCCCUGCAGAGCUGGAAGCUGUGGUAUGUAGAUGCAGCACUGCAUCUCCUAUUUAUCCACACUAGAGAAGCAGCAAGCAGAGGUGGGAGAGGAU